AUUCCUAAAAGUAUAACCCCUUUAUGUAUUUUAGCCUUUUAGGUCACUACCUUAUUUUCUCCAAUGAAAGAAAAGAGUAACAAAGCUAAGAAAUCGAAAGAUUCAUGAAGUAGAAAUCUUGGGUAGAUCUACAAUUUUUCUUUCAACUUUUCUCAUUGUUCGUUCAAAUCAAAAGAAUGAGAAACCUAGCUCAGAUCUCAAUUGCUCGAUUUUCAUAUCUUGUUUUUUUAGCCAAGAACAGCCCUUUGAUUUCCUCUAGGUGAUUUCAUUAGAGAAGAAGGAGCAGGAGUAAGUAAAGAGGAUACAAAUAAUGAAAGGUGAAAGGUCGAAUCCUAAAUGGAGUUUGUACUGCAAAAAACAAGGAUGAUUCUUUGGAUUUAGGAUAAUUCUUUAAGUUGGUCCUCCUGUAGAUGUGCUUCAUGUAGCUGCAUAUAUCAUUUUGUUAUGGGUUUUUAGGUAUUUCCCAACGUCACCUUCUAGCUCCGCAUGUUUUAAGUCAUGCUGCUGACUUUUAACUGUAUCUUUUAGUAUUUGUACUUCGCUUUCUAUCUUUUCCAUUUUUUGGAAAAAAUAAUAAAUAGACAAUGACAAAAUUAGCUAUAUGCAAAAUGUGCUAUAUAGAAGAA